rnacentral:rRNA from 1 species
UGAGGAAUAUUGGUCAAUGGGCGAGAGCCUGAACCAGCCAAGUAGCGUGCAGGAUGACGGCCCUAUGGGUUGUAAACUGCUUUUAUGUGGGGGUAAAGUGCGUGACGUGUCAUGCAUUGCAGGUACCACAUGAAUAAGGACCGGCUAAUUCCGUGCCAGCAGCCGCGGUAAUACGGAAGGUCCGGGCGUUAUCCGGAUUUAUUGGGUUUAAAGGGAGCGUAGGCUGUCUAUUAAGCGUGUUGUGAAAUUUACCGGCUCAACCGGUGGCUUGCAGCGCGAACUGGUCGACUUGAGUAUGCAGGAAGUAGGCGGAAUUCAUGGUGUAGCGGUGAAAUGCUUAGAUAUCAUGACGAACUCCGAUUGCGCAGGCAGCUUACUGUAGCAUAACUGACGCUGAUGCUCGAAAGUGCGGGUAUCAAACAGG